AACGAACGCUGGCGGCAGGCUUAACACAUGCAAGUCGAGCGCCCCGCAAGGGGAGCGGCAGACGGGUGAGUAACGCGUGGGAACCUACCCAGUUCUACGGAACAACUGAGGGAAACUUCAGCUAAUACCGUAUACGCCCUACGGGGGAAAGAUUUAUCGGAAUUGGAUGAGCCCGCGUUGGAUUAGCUAGUUGGUGAGGUAACGGCUCACCAAGGCGACGAUCCAUAGCUGGUCUGAGAGGAUGAUCAGCCACACUGGGACUGAGACACGGCCCAGACUCCUACGGGAGGCAGCAGUGGGGAAUAUUGGACAAUGAGCGCAAGCCUGAUCCAGCCAUGCCGCGUGAGUGAUGAAGGCCUUAGGGUUGUAAAGCUCUUUCAGUGGGGACGAUAAUGACGGUACCCACAGAAGAAGCCCCGGCUAACUUCGUGCCAGCCGCCGCCGUAAAAC
rnacentral:rRNA from 1 species